UUAAAUUGAAGAGUUUGAUCAUGGCUCAGAUUGAACGCUGGCGGCAGGCCUAACACAUGCAAGUCGAACGGUAACAGGAAGAAGCUUGCUU
rnacentral:rRNA from 5 species